rnacentral:rRNA from 1 species
UGGGGAAUUUUGGACAAUGGGCGAAAGCCUGAUCCAGCAAUGCCGCGUGUGUGAAGAAGGCCUUCGGGUUGUAAAGCACUUUUGUCCGGAAAGAAAUCCUUGGCUCUAAUACAGUCGGGGGAUGACGGUACCGGAAGAAUAAGCACCGGCUAACUACGUGCCAGCAGCCGCGGUAAUACGUAGGGUGCAAGCGUUAAUCGGAAUUACUGGGCGUAAAGCGUGCGCAGGCGGUUUGCUAAGACCGAUGUGAAAUCCCCGGGCUCAACCUGGGAACUGCAUUGGUGACUGGCAGGCUAGAGUAUGGCAGAGGGGGGUAGAAUUCCACGUGUAGCAGUGAAAUGCGUAGAGAUGUGGAGGAAUACCGAUGGCGAAGGCAGCCCCCUGGGCCAAUACUGACGCU